rnacentral:rRNA from 1 species
CAGCAGUAGCCGCGGUAAUACGAAGGGUGCAAGCGUUACUCGGAAUUACUGGGCGUAAAGCGUGCGUAGGUGGUGGUUUAAGUCCGUUGUGAAAGCCCUGGGCUCAACCUGGGAAUUGCAGUGGAUACUGGGUCACUAGAGUGUGGUAGAGGAUAGUGGAAUUUCCGGUGUAGCAGUGAAAUGCGUAGAGAUCGGAAGGAACAUCUGUGGCGAAGGCGACUAUCUGGGCCAACACUGACACUGAGGCACGAAAGCGUGGGGAGCAAACAGGAUUAGAUACCCCGGUAGUCCCUGUCUCUUAUAC